GACUUAUUGAAUACUUGAGAUCACAUUAGAUCGUAACAGAACGUGACGCCUUCUUGCAUCAGAUUAACUGCGAGCACUACGAUUGGGAAAAAACGAUUUGAUAUUAUUUGCUCGAUUAUUUACGAUAAAUUUCAAUCUGAAGUUGGAUUAUUAUCCCGGUUAGAAAUAAGUGCAUGUCAUCGUCUCGAUCGUACAUGCAUAAUGUAUUGGAACCAUGUACAAGUCUCCCACGAUUAAGACGACUGGCACGAUUUACGUCAAGAUCAGAUAAAACCAGACAAAAACACCUGCCUUUUCAUGAAGAUAAAGAAGAUAGUGAAACACAUAAAACAAUUGAAUCCUUACAGCAGCAGGUUGCCAUUUUGAGAGACCUUUCGCCAUUUCGUUUCAGUGGUUUAUCAGAAGUACUUUCUCAAAGUUUGUUUGAAAUAAUGUUUUUCAAAAAAAUACAAAUCUGUGUUGACCAUCUAGAUGGUCAAGGUCACUGUGACUAAAAAUAGUAACAAGCUUUUUAA